UACAGAGGGUGCAAGCGUUGUUCGGAAUCAUUGGGCGUAAAGGGCGUGUAGGCGGUCUGUUAAGUCAUGUGUGAAAUCCCUCGGCUCAACCGGGGAACGACGCAUGAAACUGACAAGCUAGAGUACCAAAGAGGGGGGUGGAAUUCCUGGUGUAGCGGUGGAAUGCGCAGAUAUCAGGAGGAACACCGGUGGCGAAGGCGGUUCUCUGGGCAUUACCUGACGCUGAGGAGCGAAAGCAUGGGGAGCGAACAGG
rnacentral:rRNA from 1 species